AUAAGCUACUAAGGGCACGAGGUGAAUGCCUUGGUGCUAGGAGGCGAUGAAGGACGUGGUUACCUGCGAUAAGCCUUGGGAAGACGGAAGCAGUCAUUAUACCCAAGGAUUUCCGAAUGGGGAAACCCGGCUGGGCCUUAAACCCAGUCACACCCUGGUGAAUUCAUAGCCAGGGCCGUAAGGUUAAACGAGCGAUACCUGCUGAAGUGAAACAUCUCAGUAAGCAGAGGAAAAGAAAGCGAAUGCGAUUCCGUCAGUAGUGGCGAGCGAAAGCGGAACAGACCAAACCACCCAGCUUGCUGGUGUGGGGUUCGGGACACGAUAUGGAGAUCCAAUCCAAAGAUUAACACGUUGGAAAGCGUGGCCAAAGAAGGUGAUAGCCCUGUAUACGGCGGAGAGGUAAUCCUAGUGUUUCCAGAGUAGCACGGGAUAAGUGGAACCCUGUGUGAACACGCGCCAACCAUGGCGUAAGUCUAAAUACUACCUAGCAACCGAUAGUGAACUAGUACCGUGAGGGAAAGGCGAAAAGCACCCCGAAAGGGGAGUGAAAAGUACCUGAAACCACGUGCCUACAAGGUGUCGGAGCCAUCUUCGGAUGGUGACGGCGUGCCUUUUGCAUAAUGAGUCUGCGAGUUAUUGUUCGUGGCAAGCCUAAGGGCUUUUGGUCCGGAGGCGAAGCGAAAGCGAGUGUGACAAGCGCGAAUUAGUCGCGAGCAAUAGACCCGAAGCGGAGGUGAUCUAGCCAUGGCCAGGUUGAAGCUUAGGUAACACUAAGUGGAGGACCGAACCGGUGUACGUUGAAAAGUGCUCGGAUGAGCUGUGGCUGGGAGUGAAAGGCUAAUCAAACCCCGUGAUAGCUGGUUCUCUCCGAAAUAGCUUUAGGGCUAGCGUCAGGCAAGGAUUCGAGGGGUAGAGCACUGAAUGGCUUAGGGCCCAUACCAGGGUACCAAAACCAAUCAAACUCCGAAUACUCGAACUCCGUACUGGCAGUCAGACUAUGGGUGAUAACAUUCAUGGUCGAAAGGGAAACAACCCAGAUCGCCGGCUAAGGUGCCUAAACUGGAUUAAGUGGAAAGGAUGUGGAAUUGCACAGACAGUGAGGAUGUUGGCUUAGAAGCAGCCACCAUUUAAACAUAGCGUAACAGCUGACUCAUCGAGCGAUUCUGCGCCGAAAAUGAUUGGCGAUUAAAUCCAGUACCGAAGCCGCGAAUGCGUAUUACAUUCGUGUAAUAUGCGUGGUAGGAGAGCGUCGUCUAUGCGCUGAAGCUGAACUGUAAGGGACAGUGGAGCGUAGACGAGUGAGGAUGCAGACAUGAGUAGCGAUAAAACAGGUGAGAAUCCUGUUCGCCGUAAACCCAAGGUUUCCCAUAGCCACGUUCGUCGGCUUGGGGUUAGUCGGGUCCUAAGGUGAGGCCGUAAGGCGUAAUCGAUGGAUAUAAGGUUAAUAAUCCUAACCGGCAGGCAAUUAGUGUAUGAGUGCGCAGAGAUGAAAAAUGUAUACAUUACGUAAUGGAAAAGGCUUAGUCCACGAGGCGAAGCCAGCAUUGGAAGUUUCUGCCUAGAAAAGCUCAUUCACAUUCUAUGCCUGUCGCCCGUACCGUAAACCGCCACAGGUAGGAGGGUGUAAAUGUACCAAGGCGCGCGAGAGAAACCUCUUUAAGGAACUCUGCAAAUUAGCCCCGUAACUUCGGAAGAAGGGGUGCCAUCUUCGGAUGGCCACAGUAAAGGGUGACUGGCGACUGUUUACCAAAAACACAGCUCUCUGCUAAGAUGUUAAGUCUACGUAUAGGGAGUGACACGUGACCAAUGCCGAAAGAUCAAGGCUGUUCUGUUAACGCAGGGCACCUAAGUCCCGGUGAAUGUCGGCCGUAACUAUAACGGUCCUAAGGUAGCGAAAUUCCUUGUCGGGUAAGUUCCGACCUGCACGAAUCGUGUAACGACCGGUCAACUGUCUCAAAGAGGAUCUCGGCGAAGUUGUAAUGGCGGUGAAGAUGCCGCCUACCCGCGGUAGGACGGAAAGACCCUAUGCACCUUUACUGUAAGCUGGUAUUGGGUUCUGGACUGUGAUGUGUAGUAAUAGGUGGGAGACUUUGAGACGAGUUCGUCAGGAUUCGUGGAGUCGACAAAUGAAAAACCACCCUUUAUUUUCUAGGAUUCUAACCUCGAUUCCUGUUAGCCAGGCGAGGGACAGUGCUUGCGGGUCAGUUUGACUGGGGCGGUUUCCUCCCAAAAAGUAACGGAGGAGCGCGAAGGUACUCUCAGCAUGGUUAGAAACCAUGCGUCGAGCGUAUAGGUAGAAGAGUGCUUAACUGUAAGACCGACAGGUCGAGCAGGUACGAAAGUAGGCCUAAGUGAUCCGGCAGUAGAAAAUGGAAUUGCUGUCGCUCAUCGGACAAAAGGUACGCUAGGGAUAACAGGCUUAUCGCGCCCAAGAGUUCAUAUCGACGGCGCGGU
rnacentral:rRNA from 1 species